GCCAGGCUCUCGAUUACAUUCGCUUCCACUACAACCCCAACCAUCCAAAAACCCAUCGAGUAAUUGAAUCAUCUUCCGAUCGACGCAAGAACUCCGGACGUAGCUGGAAGAAAUGCCGCGAAUCUGUACAGUGUACUGCGAUUUAACUGGCCCGCCACCACUCUUCACCCCAUACGUUCUCCAAAAAACCUCCCUAGCUCAGCACACGGAAGACGCACGAGUGACGUCAAUCAGACAUCUUCCAUCGUGGGGCGCAUAGACCGCGUCUUCAUGGACUGGAAAAAAAAAACCAACUAGUUCGCGACUAUUACGACUCAUCAAAACCGUUUCGUGCUGCGAUGCGCAUUUCAUUCCCACUGCCUUGUGGAUGAGAAAUGAGGAAACUGGACCAAAAUGGUUGGCUUGGAAAUUGUCCGAGGUGUCAACAAAACGUAGCAAUAAAGUCCUAACACCAUU